CUCUCGCGUCUCGCGUUGUGGGGUCAAAGCAUCAGGCUUUGCGUCACGGUUUGCGCCUGGGAGCUGAACCCUCCAACACCCCUGAGUUGCUCGGCGCUAUGGCUCGGCUUGCAAGACCGUUGUUUCAAGAAACAUAUGGUCGUGGAGGCUCAUGGAGUCUUGGGAGUGACCACCUACAUCUGCCAGCCCCUGAGUGCUGGGCUGCGCUCUCCACCGAGGAGAGAGACCUGGAACCACUUCCACCAAAACACUGACUGGAACCAAGCAAACCAUACUGUGUGCAGAUAGCCAUUGUGGUUGGUAGCUUCUAAGAAGACCCCAGUGAUCCCCACCUCCUGGUAUUCAUGAUUCAUGGCCUUGUGUAAUCCCUUACCCUUGAGUAACCCACUUUUAACCAAUAAAAUAUGGCAAUGUUAAUGGAAUGUGACUUCUGUGGUUAGGUUACAUAAGACUGUGACUUAUGUCUUGCUAGCAUGCAUUCUCUAUUGCCUUCUCAGCUUUCAGGCUUUCAUUAAACAAGUUGCCAUGUGGAAAAGCUCAGAUGGCAAGGAACUAAAGGCAGCUUCUGGCCAACAGCCAGUGAGGAUCUGAGGUCCUUGGUCCAAUAUCCUGCAAGGACCUGAAUCCUACCAACAAUCUCUAGAUGAGGCUGGAAGCAGAUUGUUCCCCAGUCAAACUUACAGAUGAGUUGUCCAGCUCCUGAU